rnacentral:lncRNA from 1 species
AAAAAUGUGCUUCCUCCAAAAAUCCAUAAAACCUAAAUAGAACUUGUCACAUCACAUUAAUGAGAUGAAAGAGCUUCCAAAUAAGGUGAUAUAACAAUUGUAGCUCCAAGAAAAAUGAAUGCCAACCGUGACAUGACAACGUUUUUCUAAUCAAAGAUAAAAAAAAAUAAAAAAUAAAAAAAAUAAAAUACCACCUCCUUUCUUCAAUUGCAAAGUACCGUAACAGCUGCCCUCAAUUGAAAAUGGGAUGUGCAAGGAACAAGAAAAAUAUAAAAAAAAAAUUCUGGAAUGAGGAUAAGAACCAGCGUAACUUCCUCUCCCGAUAAGAAAAGUAAAGGCUACAAAUCCCUUCUAGCCGUAACACAACUCACUCUUC